rnacentral:rRNA from 1 species
UAGGGAAUCUUCCACAAUGGACGCAAGUCUGAUGGAGCAACGCCGCGUGAGUGAAGAAGGUUUUCGGAUCGUAAAGCUCUGUUGUAAGAGAAGAACGUGUGUGAGAGUGGAAAGUUCACACAGUGACGGUAACUUACCAGAAAGUCACGGCUAACUACGUGCCUG